GUCCUUUAGAAUUUAAUUUAAGGUCUAGCCUGCCCACUGAAAUUAAUUUUAAAUGGCCGCAGUAAUUUGACUGUGCAAAGGUAGCAUAAUCAUUAGUUUUUUAAUUGAAAGCUUGUAUGAAAGGUUGGACGAGGUAAAAUCUGUCUCUAAUUAAUUUAAUUUAGAAUUUAACUUUUAAGUCAAAAGGCUUAAAUAUAAUUAAAAGACGAGAAGACCCUAUAGAUCUUUAUAGUUUAUUUAUUAAAUUUAAUUAAGAAUUUUUUAAACUUUAUUAAUUUAAUUAUUUUAUUGGGGUAAUAUAAAGAUUAAAUUAAUUCUUUUUUUUUAUUAACAUUAAUUUAUGAUUUUAUGAUCCAAUUUUAUUGGUUAUAAGAUUAAGUUACCUUAGGGAUAACAGCGUUAUUUUUUUAGAGAGUUCUUAUCGAUAAAAAAGUUUACGACCUCGAUGUUGGAUUAAAGAUUAUUUCAGGUGUAGAAGUUUGAAAAUUUUGGUCUGUUCGACCAUUAAAUCUUUACAUGAUCUGAGUUCAGACCGGUGUAAGCCAGGUCGGUUUCUAUCUUUAUUAAAUUAAAAUAUUUUAGUACGAAAGGACCAAUUAUUUGAUAUAAAAUAUUUAAAUUUUGAUUAUUAUUAA
rnacentral:rRNA from 1 species